AUGAGCAUUGACCUAGGCAAUGACAAGAAGGACAAUGGCUUUACAGAUAGCCCUCUGUGUACACCUUCUUCAUCUUCUGUAUUAAGUAAAAAUAACGUGUUUCCUACACCAUCUGUAGAUACAAAGGAUCAGAAGGUGUUGAACGAUACAGCUAAUUCAGUUAAGUCUGAUGCCACGAGUGUUUCUGGGUUCAAAGGUCAGGGUGAGUGGCAGUC
rnacentral:misc_RNA from 1 species